AACGAACGCUGGCGGCAUGCCUAAUACAUGCAAGUCGAGCGAACAGAUGAAGUGCUUGCACUUCUGACGUUAGCGGCGAACGGGUGAGUAACACGUAAGGAAUCUACCUAUAAGCGGGGGAUAACAUUCGGAAACGGGUGCUAAUACCGCAUAAUAUCUUCUUCCGCAUGGAAGAAGAUUGAAAGACGGCUCUGCUGUCACUUAUAGAUGACCUUGCGGUGCAUUAGUUAGUUGGUGGGGUAAUAGCCUACCAAGACGAUGAUGCAUAGCCGACCUGGGAGGGUGAAGGGCAACAUUGGGACUGAGACACGGCCCAAACUCCUACGGGAGGCAGCAGUAGGGAAUCUUCCGCAAUGGGCGAAAGCCUGACGGAGCAGUGCCGCGUGAGUGAAGAAGGCCUUCGGGUCGUAAAACUCUGUUAUAAGAGAAGAACAAAUUGUAGAGUAACUGCUACAGUCUUGACGGUAUCUUAUCAGAAAGCCACGGCUAACUACGUGCCAGCCGCCGCCGUAA
rnacentral:rRNA from 1 species